rnacentral:rRNA from 1 species
UACGGAGGGAGCUAGCGUUGUUCGGAAUUACUGGGCGUAAAGCGCACGUAGGCGGCUUUUUAAGUCAGGGGUGAAAUCCCGGGGCUCAACCCCGGAACUGCCUUUGAAACUGGAGAGCUAGAAUCUUGGAGAGGCGAGUGGAAUUCCGAGUGUAGAGGUGAAAUUCGUAGAUAUUCGGAAGAACACCAGUGGCGAAGGCGACUUACUGGACACAUAUUGACGCUGAGGUGCGAAAGCGUGGGGAGCAAACAGG